CCUACGGGAGGCAGCAGUGGGGAAUAUUGCACAAUGGGCGCAAGCCUGAUGCAGCGACGCCGCGUGAAGGAUGAAGGUCUUCGGAUUGUAAACUUCUAUCAGCAGGGAGGAACCAAAUGACGGUACCUGACUAAGAAGCCCCGGCUAACUACGUGCCAGCAGCCGCGGUAAU
rnacentral:rRNA from 1 species